rnacentral:rRNA from 1 species
UACAGAGACCUCAAGCGUUAUCCGGAAUCAUUGGCCGUAAAGCGUACCGAUAGGUGGUUUAGAAAGUCAGAUGUGAAAUUCCAAGGCUCAACCUUGGGACUGUCAUUUUAAACUUCUAAACUAGAGGGGCAAAGAGGAAGCUGGAACGAACGGUGUAGUAGUGAAAUGCGUUGAUAUCGUUCGGAACACCAAUAGCGAAGGCAGGCUUCUGGGUGCCACCUGACACUGCUAGGACGAAAGCGUGGGGAGCGAAUGGG